GGGCUCUUAGCUCAGCGGUUAGAGCAGGGGACUCAUAAUCCCUUGGUCACAGGUUCGAAUCCUGUAGGGCCCACCA
rnacentral:tRNA from 1 species